rnacentral:lncRNA from 1 species
GCUAUCAACUUUUGGAGGGCAAAUAAAUGUGGCAAUAAUUUUAUUGUCAAUGUGGUUAUAAUAUCUUUAAAACACAAUUUUAGAUUUAUUUAAAGUUUAAAAAAUAAUCCUUCUUAAGACAUUUCAAAAGAUAUAUACAAAUGUGCCAUUUACUGAAAAUUGAACAGAAAUAGGAUUAUAGCAUGAUAUUACUUUAACUAAAUAUCUUGACGUCCUCAAGGUCAGCCCUAAAGCUUCUGAUACAGAAAUACACAUUCCACUUUGAAAUCACUGUGGCUCAAAAAAGAAAACGCCUGAGGAUAUAGCAAGCUCAUCAUGCCUGUGCCCUCUCCUACUACAGUCGUCUCUCUUAAUAUUUUGCUAUGAAUUUAUAGGAUAUUUAAAAACUGGGUCAAAUUCUUGGUAACCAAGAACAUAAAAUGAGUUAGUAUUGUAACUAGCAUUUUGUACAG